rnacentral:rRNA from 1 species
GACGUAGGAGGCGGGCGUUGUCCGGAUUCAUUGGGCGUAAAGAGCGCGCAGGCGGCUUGGUAAGUCGGAUGUGAAAUCCCGAGGCUCAACCUCGGGUCUGCAUCCGAUACUGCCCGGCUAGAGGUAGGUAGGGGAGAUCGGAAUUCCUGGUGUAGCGGUGAAAUGCGCAGAUAUCAGGAGGAACACCGGUGGCGAAGGCGGAUCUCUGGGCCUUACCUGACGCUCAGGCGCGAAAGCUAGGGGAGCGAACUGG